UGUGGGUGCAUAGCUCAGCUGGAUAGAGCAACGCCCUUCUAAGGCGUGUGUCCGGGGUUCGAAUCCCUGUGCGCUCACCACAUAUAUUGGGGAUUAGCCAAGUCGGUAAGGCACAUGACUUUGACUCAUGUAUGCGUAGGUUCGAGUCCUGCAUCCCCAGCCAAAUGAUGUAUUACUAAGCUAUAUUUGAAUUAUUUUUAUUUUAAAUAUAGUUAGGUUCAAUUUUAGAAUAAGUUUAAGUAUCCGAAUGUGGAGAGGUGUCCGAGUGGUUUAAGGAGCUGGUCUUGAAAACCAGUGACUUCGAAAGGGGCCGUGGGUUCGAAUCCCACCCUCUCCGCCAAAUGCCCAGAUAGCUCAGUCGGUAGAGCAGGGGACUGAAAAUCCCCGUGUCGGUGGUUCGAUUCCGCCUCUGGGCACCAAAAUAUGGCGGUAUAGCUUAGUUGGCUAGAGCGUUCGGUUCAUACCCGAAAGGUCAUAGGUUCGACUCCUAUUACCGCUACUAAAAUUUAAUGUGGGCCAUUAGCUCAGUUGGUUAGAGCGCCCGGCUCAUAACCGGUAGGUCUGGGGUUCGAGUCCCUGAUGGCCCACCACAUUAAAUUAAUUAAUAUAAAUUCGAGGUGUAGCGCAGUUUGGUAGCGCACAUGGUUUGGGACCAUGGGGCCGGGGGUUCGAGUCCCUUCACCUCGACCAAUAUAAGGUGGGUAUAGCUCAGUUGGUUAGAGCGCCAGAUUGUGGCUCUGGAGGUCGUGAGUUCGACUCUCAUUAUCCACCCCAAUUCAUAUGGUCUAUUAGCUCAGUCGGUAGAGCACCUGACUUUUAAUCAGGGUGUCCCGCGUUCGAGUCGCGGAUAGAUCACCAAAAAGGUGGCGACAUAGCCAAGUGGUAAGGCAGUGGACUGCAACUCCUUGAUCCCCAGUUCGAAUCUGGGUGUCGCCUCCAAAAUAUUCCAAGGUAGCUCAACGGUGGAGCAACCGGCUGUUAACCGGUAGGCUGUGGGUUCGAGCCCCACCCUUGGAGCCAAAAAAGCCGAAGUGGCGGAACUGGCAGACGCACAGGACUUAAAAUCCUGCGGGACUUACCUCUCGUACCGGUUCGAUUCCGGUCUUCGGCACUUAUAAAACAAUAUCGCGGAGUGGAGCAGUUGGCAGCUCGUCNNNNNNNNNNNCAGUACGGUCGGAAAUCGUACGUAGAGUGUAAAGGCAAAAGAGAGCUUGAUUGCAAGACAUACAGGUCGAGCAAGGAUGAAAAUCGGACUUAGUGAUCCGGUGGUUCUGCGUGGAAGGGCCAUCGCUCAACGGAUAAAAGCUACCCUGGGGAUAACAGGCUUAUCUCCCCCAAGAGUCCACAUCGACGGGGAGGUUUGGCACCUCGAUGUCGGCUCAUCACAUCCUGGGGCUGUAGUAGGUCCCAAGGGUUGGGCUGUUCGCCCAUUAAAGUGGUACGCGAGCUGGGUUCAGAACGUCGUGAGACAGUUCGGUCCCUAUCCGUCGCAGGCGUAGGAAAUUUGAGAAGACCUGUCCUUAGUACGAGAGGACCGGGAUGGACGUACCUCUGGUGUACCAGUUGUCCUGCCAAGGGCAUGGCUGGGUAGCUAUGUACGGAAUGGAUAAGCGCUGAAAGCAUCUAAGCGCGAAGCCAACUUCAAGAUAAGAUUUCCCACCGCAAGGGUAAGACCCCAGAAAGACUAUCUGGUUGAUAGGUCGAAGGUGUAAGUGCAGCAAUGUAUUUAGCUUAUCGAUACUAAUAGGUCGAGGACUUGACC
rnacentral:rRNA from 1 species